rnacentral:rRNA from 1 species
UACAGAGGUCUCAAGCGUUGUUCGGAUUCAUUGGGCGUAAAGGGUGUGUAGGUGGCGCGCUAAGUCGGGUGUGAAAUUUCGGAGCUUAACUCCGAAACUGCAUUCGAUACUGGCGUGCUUGAGGACUGGAGAGGAGACUGGAAUUUACGGUGUAGCAGUGAAAUGCGUAGAUAUCGUAAGGAAGACCAGUGGCGAAGGCGGGUCUCUGGACAGUUCCUGACACUGAGACACGGAGGCCAGGGGAGCAAACGGG